AGAGUCUGAUGGAGCACGCCGCGUGAGUGAAGAAGGGUUUCGGCUCGUAAAACUCUGUUGUUAAAGAAGAACAUAUCUGAGAGUAACUGUUCAGGUAUUGACGGUAUUUAACCAGAAAGCCACGGCUAACUACGUGCCAGCAGCCGCGGUAAUACGUAGGUGGCAAGCGUUGUCCGGAUUUAUUGGGCGUAAAGCGAGCGCAGGCGGUUUUUUAAGUCUGAUGUGAAAGCCUUCGGCUCAACCGAAGAAGUGCAUCGGAAACUGGGAAACUUGAGUGCAGAAGAGGACAGUGGAACUCCAUGUGUAGCGGUGAAAUGCGUAGAUAUAUGGAAGAACACCAGUGGCGAAGGCGGCUGUCUGGUCUGUAACUGACGCUGAGGCUCGAAAGUAUGGGUAGCAAACAGGAUUAGAUACCCUGGUAGUCCAUACCGUAAACGAUGAAUGCUAAGUGUUGGAGGGUUUCCGCCCUUCAGUGCUGCAGCUAACGCAUUAAGCAUUCCGCCUGGGGAGUACGGCCGCAAGGCUGAAACUCAAAGGAAUUGACGGGGGCCCGCACAAGCGGUGGAGCAUGUGGUUUAAUUCGAAGCUACGCGAAGAACCUUACCAGGUCUUGACAUACUAUGCAAAUCUAAGAGAUUAGACGUUCCCUUCGGGGACAUGGAUACAGGUGGUGCAUGGUUGUCGUCAGCUCGUGUCGUGAGAUGUUGGGUUAAGUCCCGCAACGAGCGCAACCCUUAUUAUCAGUUGCCAGCAUUAAGUUGGGCACUCUGGUGAGACUGCCGGUGACAAACCGGAGGAAGGUGGGGAUGACGUCAAAUCAUCAUGCCCCUUAUGACCUGGGCUACACACGUGCUACAAUGGAUGGUACAACGAGUUGCGAACUCGCGAGAGUAAGCUAAUCUCUUAAAGCCAUUCUCAGUUCGGAUUGUAGG
rnacentral:rRNA from 2 species